AUUGAACGCUGGCGGCACGCCUUACACAUGCAAGUCGAACGGUAACAGGUCUUCGGAUGCUGACGAGUGGCGAACGGGUGAGUAAUACAUCGGAACGCGCCCAGGAGUGGGGGAUAACUGCUCGAAAGAGCAGGUAAUACCGCAUACGACCUGAGGGCGAAAGGGGGGGAUCGCAAGACCUCUCGCUAUUGGAGCGGACGAUAUCAGAUGAGCUAGUUGGUGGGGGAAAGGCCCACCAAGGCAACGAUCUGUAGUUGGUCUGAGAGGACGACCAGCCACACUGGGACUGAGACACGGCCCAGACUCCUACGGGAGGCAGCAGUGGGGAAUUUUGGACAAUGGGCGCAAGCCUGAUCCAGCAAUGCCGCGUGCAGGAAGAAGGCCUUCGGGUUGUAAACUGCUUUUGUCAGGGAAGAAAUCUUCUGGGCUAAUACCCCGGGAGGAUGACGGUACCUGAAGAAUAAGCACCGGCUAACUUUGUGCCAGCCGCCGCCGUAA
rnacentral:rRNA from 1 species